GUCUGUAUGUUUGUUAAUAUAAAGUCUAACCUGCCCACUGGAUUUUUGAAGGGCCGCGGUAUAUUGACCGUGCUAAGGUAGCAUAAUAAUUAGUCUUUUAAUUGUAGGCUGGAAUGAAUGGUUGGACAAGAAGUAAGCUGUCUUUUUUAUAAGUUUUGAACUUUACUUUUAAGUGAAAAGGCUUAAAUAAAUUUAAGGGACGAUAAGACCCUAUAAAACUUUACAGUUAAAAGGUACUCAAUAAUUGAUUUGUAGCUUGAUUAUUUUGUAGCUGUUUUGUUGGGGAGACAAUGAUAGAAGACAAAAAUAUCUGUUUGAUAAAUGAAAAUAAAGUUGUUUAGUGAAGCUGAUCCCUUAUUAAGGAUUAAAAUAGUAAGUUACUU
rnacentral:rRNA from 1 species